rnacentral:rRNA from 1 species
CCUACGGGCGGCAGCAGUGAGGAAUAUUGGUCAAUGGCCGGAAGGCUGAACCAGCCAUGCCGCGUGAAGGUCAGUGCCCUAUGGGCGUUAAACUUCUUUUGUGCGGGAGCAAUAAUGGUCACGUGUGGCCAGACGAGAGUACCGUACGAAUAAGCAUCGGCUAACUCCGUGCCAGCAGCCGCGGUAAUACGGGGGAUGCAAGCGUUAUCCGGAUUUAUUGGGUUUAAAGGGUGCGUAGGCUGUGAGGUAAGUCAGCGGUGAAAUGCCCCCGCUCAACGGGGUGAAGUGCCAUUGAUACUGCCUGGCUGGAAUGCGGAUGCCGUGGGAGGAAUGUGUGGUGUAGCGGUGAAAUGCAUAGAUAUCACACAGAACACCGAUUGCGAAGGCAUCUCACGAAUCCGCGAUUGACGCUGAUGCACGAAAGCGUGGGUAUCUAACAGGAUUAGAUACCCGGGUAGUC